UGAGAGUCACAGGCUGAAAGAAUUGGAGCAGAUUAAAAGUCACCCUGCCUCUCUCGCAGUCACAAGCCGGGGUCGACACUCACAGCCACUCAGCACAUCCUUUCAUCUGACGGGAUCUAAGAGCAAUACACCCGUCCAAUUGGACUGGACUGACGCACAGUUAUUAGGGGGCCUGGACAAAAAAAUAUGCAUGACUCAAAAAACAGUCAAAACUCCAACUUUAGCUGCCCUGGGCGUCAACAGACACUACCACCAGUGACGCCUUUCUCCUGAUUCUGCAGUCAAACAACAAAACAGCUUCACAGCAAACAUCUGGUAAGAAGUGGGACAGACACAGCCCAGUUCCUCUGCUGAGUCGCAUCUGGUUAAACUGAUGUUCAUACAGCUAAUCUCUGAUUACAUUCACCAUCCAGAAUGCACAAACGGAGAUGGAACAAACGUCCCUCUGCGGCAUCAGUGCAAACUCCGGGAGCGCCGACGACCGCCACGCAACACUGGAGAAAAGUUUUUAAAGAUGUGGGUCGGACCACACAGCCCUCACUGUUACAGGCUGUCAUGAACACUGGCCCUGUGUGCUGCUGACAGAAGAGAGGGCCCCUGUUACCACACACACAAACACACCAAUAUGCACCAACACACACAUUUAUACGUUGGGGCAAAUAUUUCACACUCGCUGGCUGCAGCCUGCACGACCAUUCAACUGAAUUUUCUCCCAUGACACACGCACGCACGCACUCACACAACGAAGCUCAUUGAUCGUUUUACUAAAAAUCAGCUGGGUGCUGGUUAUGUAAGAGCCCUGAGGGUUACAGAGAGGAGCGAACAGUAAGAGGGUCGAGAAAAGGGGGCGAAAGAGGGGGGGGGGGAAC